rnacentral:rRNA from 1 species
AUACGUAGGGGGCGAGCGUUGUCCGAAUUUACUGGGCGUAAAGGGUGAGUAGGCGGUUAUAUGUGUCAGAUGUAAAAGGCUAUGGCUUAACCAUAGUUAGCAUUUGAAACUGUAUGACUUGAGUGCAGGAGAGGUAAGUGGAAUUCCUAGUGUAGCGGUGAAAUGCGUAGAUAUUAGGAGGAACACCAGUGGCGAAGGCGACUUACUGGACUGUAACUGACGCUGAGUCACGAAAGCGUGGGUAGCAAACAGGAUUAGAUACCCUGGUAGUCCACGCUGUAAACGAUGAGUGCUAGGUGUUGGCCAGCGAUGGUCAGUGCCGCAGUAAACACAUUAAGCACUCCGCCUGGGGAGUACGGUCGCAAGACUGAAACUCAAAGGAAUUGACGGGG